rnacentral:rRNA from 1 species
GAUGAACGCUGGCGGCGUGCCUAAUACAUGCAAGUAGAACGCUGAAGCUCGGUGCUUGCACCGAGCGGAUGAGUUGCGAACGGGUGAGUAACGUGUAGGUAACCUGCCUCUUAGCGGGGGAUAACUAUUGGAAACGAUAGCUAAUACCGCAUAAAAGUCGAUAUCGCAUGAUGUUGAUUUGAAAGGUGCAAUUGCAUCACUAAGAGAUGGACCUGCGUUGUAUUAGCUAGUUGGUGAGGUAACGGCUCACCAAGGCGACGAUACAUAGCCGACCUGAGAGGGUGAUCGGCCACACUGGGACUGAGACACGGCCCAGACUCCUACGGGAGGCAGCAGUAGGGAAUCUUCGGCAAUGGACGGAAGUCUGACCGAGCAACGCCGCGUGAGUGAAGAAGGUUUUCGGAUCGUAAAGCUCUGUUGUAAGAGAAGAACGAGUGUGAGAGUGGAAAGUUCACACUGUGACGGUAACUUACCAGAAAGGGACGGCUAACUACGUGCCAGCAGCCGCGGUAAUACGUAGGUCCCGAGCGUUAUCCGGAUUUAUUGGGCGUAAAGCGAGCGCAGGCGGUUAGAUAAGUCUGAAGUUAAAGGCUGUGGCUUAACCAUAGUACGCUUUGGAAACUGUUUAACUUGAGUGCAGAAGGGGAGAGUGGAAUUCCAUGUGUAGCGGUGAAAUGCGUAGAUAUAUGGAGGAACACCGGGUGGCGAAAGCGGCUCUCUGGUCUGUAACUGACGCUGAGGCUCGAAAGCGUGGGGAGCAAACAGG